ensembl:misc_RNA
GUUAAAAGCUAGGGCUAGGACUUGGAGGAUGUGUAGGCAAACGGAAGGAGAGCCGGGGGAAGAAAAACCGAAAUGGAUUCAUUCUCUGUCCUGGAUGGAGGAGGAGAGGAGAAGAAGGGGACGUGCGAGCUGCCUUCAGCUGCCUCUGUCCGGUGAAAAGUGAUCAAACCCCCGGGGCUCACUAGGGCUCAGGAGUCCGCGCGGACUUUCGCUCUGAGCUGCCAAUCAAACCGCUAACUAGACACCACCCUGAUCUGGCACGGACAU